AUGACAUCCAGUUUGGAGAUGAUCCAAAUGUUUGUUACAAGAGAUGUGCCACCUAGGUACUAUCCCAUCAUCUGAUAGAUAAUGCAAUGAACAAGGGGCAGGAGGUGGUACAGAUGGCGUGGAGCUUUGUGAAUGACAGCCUGUGCACCA